rnacentral:rRNA from 1 species
GUGCACCAGUCGCGAAACUUUACAAUGUGCGAAAGCACGAUAAGGGAACUCUGAGUGCCUCCUAAGGAGGCUGUUCAGGUGUCUAAAAGCACCUGAAGGAAGGGCUGGGUAAGACCGGUGCCAGCCGCCGCGGUAACACCGGCAGCCCAAGUGGUAGCCACGUUUAUUGGGUCUAAAGCGUCCGUAGCCGGCUGGGUAAGUUCCUUGGGGAAAAUUUUGGGCUGCUUAACAGUCAAGUCUUUCGAGGGAAUACUGCCCGGCUUGGGGACCGGGAGAGGUCAGAGGUACUCCGAGGGGUAGGGGUAGAAAUCCAUUAAUCCGUUGGGGGACCACCGGUAGCGAAGGCGUCUGACCAGACCGGGUCCGACGGUGAGGGACGAAGGCGUAGGGGCG